AUGAAGAUCCCACUCUCCUUAUUCCUGCUACUAAUCAGCCUCAUAGGUAUUCAGUGUCAGAGUCUUGAGUCUAUUCCCAUUGUUUCAGUGUUGAAAAAACCUGGAGAAACUCUGAGUCUUUCCUGUAAAGGAUCUGGGUUUAACUUUGGUGGCUAUGGCAUGAACUGGAUCAGACAACAAGCUGGAAAAGCUCUAGAAUGGAUUGGGGUUAUCUGGUCUGAUGCCAGUAAAACAAUAUACGCCAAAGACAUUGAGGGACGUUUGGAAAUGACCAGAGACAACUCCAAAAACAUGGUGUAUCUGCAGCUGACUGGUUUGAGUGCCCAGAAUUCUGCUGUUUAUUACUGUGCUAAACACCACAGUGAUGUGUUCUGUGCUACUGAGCUCAUCCAGCCAGACUCACUGCUUAUAAAGCCAGGAGAGACUUUAACCAUCACCUGUAAAGUGUCUGGAGCUUCUAUCACUGAUAGCAGCAGCCACUUUGGAACAGCUUGGAUACGACAACCUGCAAGAAAAGCUUUAGAAUGGAUCAAUUUAAUUUAUUAUGAUGGAGAUAUUAAUAAGAAAGAUUCACUUAAAGACAAGUUUGUUGUCUCUCGAGACACUUCCAUGAUCCACAGUGAUGGACAAAAAAGACAUGAGAUCUAA